UGCUGGUAUCAACAGGAGUUGUUGAAAGGGUGCUAGCCUCAGAACUGGCCACCGGCGUGGUGCUGACAGGCAUACUUGCUAACGGAGUGGUUCCUUCACUAGGAGGUGAGGUUGGUAUGCUGGUACCUUCAGCAGUUGUAGGAGAUGAACUGGCUUCAGUAGAAGUGGUGACAGGUAUGCUGGUGUCGACAGGAGUUGUGGAAAGGGUGCUAGCCUCAGAACUGACCACCAGCCUGGUGCUGA
rnacentral:lncRNA from 1 species